UACGUAGGGGGCAAGCGUUGUCCGGAAUCAUUGGGCGUAAAGCGCGUGUAGGCGGCUCGGUAAGUCCGCUCUGAAAGUCCAGGGCUCAACCCUGGGAUGCGGGUGGAUACUGCCGAGCUCGAGUCCGGAAGAGGCGAGUGGAAUUCCUGGUGUAGCGGUGAAAUGCGCAGAUAUCAGGAGGAACACCAAUGGCGAAGGCAGCUCGCUGGGACGUGACUGACGCUGAGACGCGAAAGCCAGGGGAGCAAACGGG
rnacentral:rRNA from 1 species